UAUUCACUGCAUCAAAUUUAGACCAACAUCCAUGAAUUUAUGGUCUAAAAAUUAAGUUCUAAUUAUUCUAACAAUUAAUUUUCUUGAUUUUACAGGUUGGUGGUUUCUACAUAUGGACCCACACAUACCAUUUAAUAAGAAGCUCAUCUGUGAAAUUUAAAGCACUAAAAGCAGCUGAGGAAGAUGCUUUGAAGAAACCAAAUAAUGACUUUGAUGCAAAUGAAAAAUCUCAACUUCUUGAAGGAGUUGACCAGAAUGAUGUUGCUGUUAGCAUUGCACCAACAAAAUCAACUGCAUAUGACCCUGAAAAUCAAACUGUAAAAUUCCC
rnacentral:lncRNA from 1 species